UACGUAGGGAGCAAGCGUUGUCCGGAUUCACUGGGUGUAAAGGGUGCGCAGGCGGGUUGGCAAGUCAGAGGUGAAAUCUCACGGCUCAACCGUGAAACUGCCUUUUAUACUGCUAAUCUUGAGUUCGGGAGAGGUUGAUGGAAUUCCAGGUGUAGCAGUGAAAUGCGUAGAUAUCUGGAAGAACACCAGUGGCGAAGGCGGUCAACUGGCCCGUAACUGACGCUCAUGCACGAAAGCGUGGGUAGCGAACAGG
rnacentral:rRNA from 1 species